UCCAGACUCCUACGGGAGGCAGCAGUGGGGGAUAUUGCACAAUGGGGGGAACCCUGAUGCAGCGACGCCGCGUGGGUGAAGGAGCGUUUCGGCGCGUAAAGCCCUAUCGGCAGGGAAGAGGGAGGACGGUACCUGACUAAGAAGCCCCGGAUAACUACGUGCCAGCAGCCGCGGUAAUACGUAGGGGGCAAGCGUUAUCCGGAUUUACUGGGUGUAAAGGGGGCGCAGACGGCAGCGCAAGCCAGGAGUGAAAGCCCGGGGCCCAACCCCGGGACUGCUCUUGGAACUGCGCGGCUGGAGUGCAGGAGGGGCAGGCGGAAUUCCUGGUGUAGCGGUGAAAUGCGUAGAUAUCAGGAGGAACACCGGUGGCGAAGGCGGCCUGCUGGACUGCGACUGACGUUGAGGCCCGAAAGCGUGGGGAGCAAACAGGAUUAGAUACCCCAGUAU
rnacentral:rRNA from 1 species